AAUUCUCCAAGGGCAGAUACAUCCCACACUCCUCUUAAUUUACAGGUCAGAUACCAGAGACCCAAAGACAACAAGAAGCCCAGAGGAUAAUGGCAUUGUUCUCAGCUUAGCAAGACGGCUUGAUGGCAGGAGAUGAAGGCCACACUAACCCCCAGGGAACCAGAGACUUAAGAGAGCAAAGAGCACAGCAGGUCUGGGAUUCCCCUAACCUCUGCCCCAGGGAGUUCGCAGGUGCAGGGAUGCAUGCUUCCUCAGAUGCCUGGUCCUUCCUGCAGGUGUCACCUCCUCUGGGUUUCCUUCCCUCACAGCUUCCCCAGGACGCAUCCACAUUUGGGGGUGGGGGGUGGGUGCACUCAUCUCUGCAUUUUACACUCUCCAGCUGCUGUUUUGCUUUGUCUGUGUGCCUGGGGUGAUGUCAAAGUCUUCCUCUACUCUGGAUCCCCGGGAUGUGGGAUGUGGCUAUUCUAUUGUCUUCAUCAUUGAGCAGGUGCUAGAUUAGCGUUGGUACAACUGAGCUGUAGCCUGCAAAGUCUAGCCUGGGCUUGCUCUGCUUUCCUUUCUCUGUAACUCGGCCCCGCCAUCCUCCUGUCUCAGUCACCCAUCAACCUUCCUCAUCUUCUCCUCAAGGAUGGGGAGACUGGACUCAGUCAUCAGCUGGACCGCUCUUUCCUUCUCUCUCCCUCCCCCACUCAUCUCUCUGAAAGUAUCAUCAGCUCAGGUUGGUCUCAGACUUGCUAUGUAGCCAAGGAUGACUUGGCUUUCAGACACUCCUACGUCCAUCUCCUGAGUACUGGGAUUACAAGCAUGCACCCCAUUCAUGUGGAACUUGGGGGAGAACCCAGAACUUGGGUUCACGGCCUGUGACGCAAGCCCUCCUCCAACUGAGUUUCAGCUCCAGCCACUGUAGGUAUUUCUCUGAAAAGGACAGUCUACUGAGAAGCCCGCAGAGGUCCUCCAGACCUUGGUGACCACUGGACACUCAGCAAGACAGAGGAGAAAGGUUGGGAGAAUGCUUGCUGUGGUGACUGACAGUCCAACGUGUUGGUAAAUGUAAGUUCGGCCCAAGCAAGCAGGGGAACACAGGAUCCGACACAGAUGGUCAACUGGAGGAUGCAGGACCCGAGACCUCAUCCACUUGGGCCACCUCCCCUAAUCAUGGGUACAACCAGGUAGGUCGAACACCCCCACACUACCUUCCAUCCCACAAGUACCACAGACUUCACUCUGUCCAACCUCGUCAUCCUCAUCUCCAGGGAGGUCCCAACAUCCACGCUGUCUGUAGUAUAACAACUAGCCAUUCCCACCAAAAAGACCUCGCCAGGAACCUGCUAUUCUUUGAAUGCCAAGCCCAAGUUUUCUGUUUGCAGAUUUUGCCUUCUUCUAAGGCCAGGGGUUCCUGCCACUGGCCACUCAGAAAAGUCGGAACCUGGUCCUCCUCCAGCCUCCAGGGAGACAGAGAACUAACUCAUGCUUUGUGGGCCAGGUCUUGGCGUCUCACACCCUUUCCAGCUGAGUCCAGCUGUUAGGGCCCUGGCUGCAGACUCCAGGAGGUCUCAGGGCAACACCACUGCUCAGCUCUGAGCUCGCCUGCAUUUGGUUUCUUCGGUUCAUUGAUCAGGAAUCAUACGAUCUUUUUCAAAACACAGCUGGUGGAAUUGCCCAUCUGCGCCUCUGCAUUUGGACCUGAUACUAGGCAGCCUGGAAUUUGUCUAAACCUGCAGUUGUGCGUGUACGAGGAAGCUGCUCUCACCAGGCCUCCUGUGACGGGCAGAUGGGGAAUCUGCUUCGUCUUCAGGACCACCCUUGGCUGGGCUUCAAGAACUGAGUACUUUGUUCACCAAGUCCUCCUGAUCAAAGCAGACAGAAAAGAAAGAGGGGAUGGACCCACAGCUUCCCCUUGCUGGCCUGUUCUCUCUGCUGGCAUGAGCCCAGAUCCCUGCUGCAGUGACCCACCAAGCACAAAGCUUCCAUCACCUCCUAAGUCAGGGAACGGUGCUCAGAGAGGUAAGAGCUUCUUCCUGCCAAAUGUGUGAAGAGGGUGAAUCUUAUACUCACAGACACUCCCAAAGAUGCUUGAGCUCAGACCUCCCCCACCCCUCCCCACAUCAUCUGACCACUUUACUCCCUCCUCUAAGGCCCCCAGAGGCUCUCAAUUGCUUCCAGGAUGCAGUCCAAGCUGUAGGUCUGGCUUCCUUGCCUCUCAAUUUGGUCCCAGCUAUGUCUCUGGCACUAUCUCCCUCCACCACUGUCUAACUAUCCAUUCACCCUGGAGUCCAACUCAGGCUUUGUCUAAAGGCUGCUUUCCAGCUCCUCGGAGCUGCCAAAAAAUGCCUCCCUCCAAUGGCAGCCUGUCUCUCAUUAAUGGAUGCCAUCAGGACCGCAUUACGGAAGAUGCUGACGCAGGCAGCGCCCAGCUGGUUCAAGCACAGGGCCUCUCCCUGGGGUUCGCACUGCCCCUGGGACUGCACCUGGACAGAUCUCAUGCAGAUUGAUUUCCAGCUCUCCAUAGGAGCAGCUGCAGAUCCCUCCCACCUCCCGAGAGCUGUGGCGCAGAGGCAGUUGUAUUAGGACACAUCACAGCAUCUUGCUGCCAAAGUGACAGCUACAAUUAUGCUUCGGCCGACAGCUGGAGAUGAGAGGAUGUACAAGCAGCCCAGGCCUCACGAGCUCCCAUGAAUCAGCAGUUCGUGCUGUGUACCCAGCUAGAGGUGGGGUGGGCUCCUCCUGCCACUCUGCAGGGCCUCUGCUACCUGCUGCUGUGUUGCUUACAGAACUCAGAAAGCACCUGGAAUCCUCACGUGAACAGUAGAAGCUACCCAGGAUCCAGGGGAACAGAAGAGUCAGGUUGGCAGCCCCAGACAAGAGACAGCCCUGAGGGACUUAGUUCCUAUGCAAAGCCAAGGACAUACCAAGAAAGGGCCAGUAUGCCAGAUAGCCUGGCAUGGGUAUAGGGCUCAGGUCUCUGCUGAAGCCCUAGGGUUUCAUCAUGAAGCCUGACCCUGUGCAAGACACUCCCAGCUUACCGAUGUUAAUGUCUGUGUGUGUGUGUGUGUGUGUGUGUGUGUAUGUCUGUGUGAAUGUCUGUAUGUGUGCGUGUGUGUGUUUAUGUGUAUGUAUAUUGGUGUGUUCAUGUAUAUGUGUCCGUGUCCGUGUGUGUGUGUGUGUGUGUGUGUGUGUGUGUGUGUGUGUGCUUAAAUGCACAGAGACCAAAGGACAGCAUCAUUCCCUAGCUCAUCCCCUUGAGACUGGCUCUCCCCGUACCUGGAACUUGCUCUUUUCAGCGAUACCAACAGCCAGCAAGCCCCAUAAGCCUUCUCUCUCUCUCUCUCUUUCUCUCUCUCUCUCUCUCUCUCUCUCUCUCUCUCUCUCUCCCCAUAGCUAUGGGUUACAGGCAUAUGCAAUCACACUAGUUUUUAAUAUGGGUCCUGAGGAUUCAAACUCAGGUCCUCAACCCUGUGUGGCCAAUGCUCUUCCCAUGGGGCUGUCACACCAACCCCAGAUGUUGCAUCGUUUUCUCUUUGUCACAGGUUUUCCACUGUUCCCAGUGUCUCAGUGAAGAAACGGACAGAAUCACAUUAACUUGUCCAGUCUGGCCUUGAACUUGUGAUCUUCCUGCCUCAGCUUCCUGAGUAGCUGGAAUAGAAUAGUUUUGUUUUGUUUUUUUUUCUAAAGAAAAGCUAGAGCUCAGCAGUGGUGACACCUUUAAUCAUAACACUCAGAAGCAGAGGCAGGCAGGUCUCUGAGUCCAAAGCCAACCAGCCUGGUCUACAGAAUGAGUUCCAGGACAGCCAGAGAUACACAGGAAAACUGUCUCAAGUAAUGAAGAAGGAGGAGGAGGAGGAAGAGAAGAGAGAAGGAGAAGAAAGGAGAAAAAGAAAAAAGAAAAAAUUUACUUUCACCUUGUAGAUACAAUCAACAAAAACUAUGAGAUUAGCUGUUCAAGUUUAUUUUUUAUUUUUUCUUUCUUUUUAAUUUUUGGGGUUUUUUGGGGGGAGGGGUUCUUAUUGUCUAGGCUGGCCUUGAAUUCAGAGAUCCUCCUGCCUCUACCUCCCAAGUGCUAGGACUAAGGGUGAGUGCCACUACUGCCCAGCGACUCAGUUUUUCUUUCUUUUUUUCUUUUUCUUUUUUCUUUCUUUCUUUCUUUCUUUCUUUCUUUCUUUCUUUCUUUCUUUCUUUCUUUCUUUCUUUCUUUCCUUCUUUCUUUUUUUUUUUUUUCCGAGACAGGGUUUCUCUGUGUAGCCUUGGCUGUCCUGGAAUUCACUCUGUAGACCAGGCUGGCCUCGAACUCAGAAAUCUGCCUGCCUCUGCCUCCCAAGUGCUGGGAUUAAAGGCGUGCACCACCACCACCCAGCUUCAGUUUUUCUUAAUGCUUUUCAAAUUUAUCUAUAUUUUAUUUUAUUUUAUAUGUACAACUGUUUUUCCUGCAUAUGUACAUGUGUGUACCUGUGAGUACCUGGUGCCAUUGGAGGUCAGCUGUCACCCAGAACUGGAGCUGUGGAUGGUUAUGAGCUGCCAUGUAUAUUCUAGAAAUUGAACUCAAGACGCUCUGGGUAAACAAGGUUCUUAACCGCUGAUCCAUCUCUCUAGCCCUCCAACUUUUCUUUGAAGCAUGGUCACACUCUGGUCCAGGUUGGCCUGAGAAGUCAGGUGUUCCUCUGACUUCACCCUCCAGAGAGCUGAACUCCACAAGUCCAGCCUCUGUACCUAGCUCUAGGUGAUCUAUCUGGCUUCUGGGUUUGGUUUGUGACUCCUUAUCCUUGUCCUUUGAAUGCCAUCUUGGCUACAGGGAAGGAGAGUCCUCCAAUGCAGCCUCACCUUGGGGGUCUACAGGAGCUGCUCUGUAGCCUGUGUUACCUGAGGGGACAGAAGACAGGAAGAGCCCCUUGCCCUGUCCAUCUUGCAUGAGCCAGCCUGCAAAGGCAUCAUUUCCACCCAGCCUCACAUGGAGCUGGCGGCCAGAGCCUCUUAGUGGGGCUAUAAAUAGCAGAUCAUCAACUCACCUCUUCUGAGCUCAUCGUAGGCUCCGUUUACUGUGCGUCUUCCAGCUGCCGGCACGUCACCUGUCACUCAGAUUUCCCAGGUCUGUGUGCUUCUCACCAAUUAAAUGCAGCAGCAAGGGACUGUCAUUGCUCUCCAAGUCCUAGAAAUCAAAGGCGGAGGAGUCUCCAAACUUACACCUAGGGAGGAGAGCCACACAGGCAGAGAACAAAUGAAAGGGUCUGUACUUUCCUGAGGACUUGUCUCCUAGUGCUGAACAACAUAGGCAUGGCUGCCUGGCUUCUGCCAUGACACAUUUCUCAGAAUUAUGCCUAGCCCUUCCAUGGAGGAUGCUCCCUAUAGGUCAGGCACCAUGCCCAGCCUCCAGGCUGGCAUCGCAUGGAGUCCUUGCAAAAGCCAGAUGAAGCUAACAGCUCGUAGACUUUGCAUUGUGAGGGGAGGAGUCCGCUGUCAGUUCAUACAGGUGACUCACUCACGCGCAGACAGCAUUGCAAUCCAGCUGCGGAGCUGCAGAGCCGGAGCCUCCAGCCUCCACCCUCACUACCUCCUGGGGAUGAGGAUUGUGUGUGUGCCCGCAUGUAAGGAACUCCAGAGAGCCAAACUAUAACCUCCUUUCUCGGCUCUAGACAUUCACGACGGAAAAGCACCUGUCUUCCCUUCAGAGUCAGUCCCUGUGUUUGAAGAGACGUUUUAAAAAUACAGAUUCUGGGCUGGAGAGAUGGCUCAGUGGUUAAGAG